GUUAUAUUAUUGUUCGUUUCUAUGUGUGUUGCAUUUUAACGUUGAGUCGUUGUGUUUUUCUCUUAUUUUUGAGAAAUUGAGAUAAGACGUGGCACGGUACUUGUCUAUCCCAAAUUCAUGUAUUUGGUUUUCAUGUUAUAUUUGUUAUUCUCGUGGUGUUUUGUCUGAUGCUUGGUCCGUUUCUGUGUGUGUUACGUUUCGGUGUUAUGUCGUUGUUCUCCUCUUAUAUUUAAUGCGUUUCCCUCGGUUUUAGUUUGUUACCCCGAUUUUGUUUUUUUGUCCAUGGAUUUAUGAGUUUUGAACAGCGGUAUACUACUGUUGCCUUUAUCUAUG
rnacentral:lncRNA from 1 species